CUCAUGUCAUUGAUGCGGAAGCAAUUAAUUUCAUAGCGUGAGUGUAAAUGGUGAGAUUUAUGAGAGAAAAUCGCCAGAUGGCUAAUACAAAAUUGUACCGCGAGGAUGUGUUGCAAAUGUUGUUCGCCGAUUCUGACUCUGAAGGGGAAUAUUUUCCUUUUGGAAAUGACGAUCGGCCGUCUAAUGAUCGCGCGUCUCGCGGUACAUCUUUGCAGCGCAAUGGUGCCGCCGUGUAAGGCGAGAGUGAACGUGGUCAUAGUGUCCAUAGGAGAGCUGUUGCUGAUCGCGCACGCUCUAAUGCGCGGCCAGCAGAGAGUACAGGUGCAGUCAGUGUGGAGAAGGUGCACUUUGCGCUGUGCCAUGCAAUGAAUGAGAGGAACCAUACUCUCAAGAACUACGAACUGUGUCACAUAGAUACCUGAUUGGGCAGAUAGCUGGUCAACUGAUCAAAAAAUAGGCACAUGUAUUUUACUAUGGCACAGUAAUAUAGUAAUAAUGUACUACUUUUCU